rnacentral:rRNA from 1 species
UACGUAGGGGGCAAGCGUUAUCCGGAUUUACUGGGUGUAAAGGGAGCGUAGACGGACAUGUAAGUCUGAUGUGAAAAUCCGGGGCCCAACCCCGGAAUUGCAUUGGAAACUGUGUGCCUGGAGUGUCGGAGAGGCAAGUGGAAUUCCUGGUGUAGCGGUGAAAUGCGUAGAUAUUAGGAGGAACACCAGUGGCGAAGGCGGCUUUCUGGACUGAAACUGACACUGAGGCACGAAAGCGUGGGGAGCAA